CAGCUUUUCACUCGUGCCGUGAGGUGUUAGGUUAAGUCCUGCAACGAGCGCAACCCCUGUCACUAGUUGCCAUCAUUAAGUUGGGGACUCUAGUGAGACUGCCUACGCAAGUAGAGAGGAAGGUGGGGAUGACGUCAAAUCAUCACGGCCCUUACGCCUUGGGCCACACACGUAAUACAAUGGCCGGUACAGAGGGCAGCUACACAGCGAUGUGAUGCAAAUCUCGAAAGCCGGUCUCAGUUCGGAUUGGAGUCUGCAACUCGACUCUAUGAAGCUGGAAUCGCUAGUAAUCGCGCAUCAGCCAUGGCGCGGUGAAUACGUUCCCGGGCCUUGUACACACCGCCCGUCAAGCCAUGGAAGUCUGGGGUACCUGAAGUCGGUGACCGUAACAGGAGCUCCUCUGUCAC
rnacentral:rRNA from 1 species